UAAUAAUCCAUUUGCAUGUAAAUCUACAAAUUAGAAGGAUAAGUUCUUCGAACGCCCGUGGGACCGCCGCCACAAUGUACUAAACCCGCGCGUCGUUACGCACCUAAUCAUCUUCCUUGGAAUGAUCUCAAUCAUUAUCUCAUUUUCAGCACGCUUACCUGUCAUUAAAUCGUCUGUUUCCUUGUGGUAUAUAAGGAUGGUUGGCUAGAGUAGUAAGUCAUCGACCAGACUGCAGCUGAGUUUAUCUCUUGUGAUUGUUGAGCAGUAAGAUACCCGGAUAAAUAUGGCAAAACUCGUUAUCCUGUUCUCCGUGCUGAUGCUGGCGGCCCUGGCCGCCGCCGACGACGACGCGACCACGCCCGCCGACCCCACCACCACCGUCGCCCCCAGCAACGACACCGCGCCCACCGCCGCCGACGCCGCUCUCGCCGCCGAUGCCAUCCAACCACCUAACGAGACGCCUACAGCUGCAAAUAGUGAAAAAUUAGGCAGCAGAUAGACUAGAUUCUUACCUUUGACCUUAUGACGGUUUUUUGAAAUGCCACCUGCCCACCUCUGCAUUUUUUUCAAUUUAUAUUACUAACAUUAUAUUCGAACGCAAAGAAAAUAAAUUUAGAAAAGGUGCCUGAAAUCAGGGAUAUUUUACGCCUGAAAAUUAUUUUAUUUCGUGGCCCCUAUUUCUAAUUAGUACUUCUUGCUUGUUUCACUCACAUCUUUAAUAAUGUUAGUACGAAAUUUUAAAUUCAAUUUCUUGAUUCUAUUUCAAUUCAUAAAUUUAGAUUAAAAUGGCAUAGUUUAUUUGUGAUAUUAGGGCAUUUAAUACCUUUAAAAGAGCUGUGACGUUCUAAUGAUCAGUUUCAUACCUCUCAAGACUAUCAUUGCUCUUAUAUUAUUCAACCUAUAUCGUUAGAACAUGCUUUGUAUUAUUAGUCAAUUUUAUUAAAGGCUUAUAUUUUAUUAAAGAAGCGAAAGAAGUGUUCUAGCCAUAUUGAUGCCUUAAUUACGCCAUUUUAUUAAACACAAUUUGAAUUAGAACAUACAUUCUUCAUUCAUUACAUAUUAGAUCAAAAUCAUUAUUUAAAGAAAUCAUAAACCACUUUAAAAAAUAAUUAAGUUUAUAAAUAAAUUAUUGAUUACUCUUA